GCACCGCUGACAAUGAGAGCUGGAAACUAUGUAACUUGUGUGUGGUCCUGCUGACUGCUGGGGAGCAGAAGCCUUGAGGAGAGAGAAUACCCUCCUUCCAGGUUAUCCGAUAGGUGUUUCACGGAAGAGGUGUGCAUGUGUGUGCAGGAAGGAUGCUGUUUCUCAUUAAACUUCGGACUCCGGGAAAUUCCGUUCCACACAGGAUGAUCCCACAGUGUCUUCUCUGGAGAAUCUGCAAGACUGUCCUCGGUGUAUGGCUCAAGGCUGAGCCCCUAGAGGCCUCAGACUGCCUUCUGGUUCAUUAGCAGCCAGUCAGUGCUGGUGAAACAGAUCCUUGGCUUCAACAGAGAAGAAUUUCAAGAUGAGCCCAUGUGAUGCAGAAUUGUGUGAUCUAUUUAUUUUUGUGUCACCCUGGCCAGCCUGGAACUUCCUGCCAUGAUACCGCCUCUGUAAAACAUAAUACCAACUGUGAGCCGGACACUCAAGUGCCAAGUAAAAGACUGAAGGCCGAGGGGCGAAGUGGAAGUUUUGGUUUCUUUAAAAACUCAGUUAUGUCAUGUGAACAGGUUUUUGUUCUAAUCCCAAGUGUGGGAUAUGGAAUUGCUUUUAGUUUCUCCACAGCUGGUGAUUGCCUCACACUGCUCAGAGAGGGGCAUGACCUUUUUCAGCUGCAGUUAGUUGAAUUCUGAGGACUUGAAGAGGGUAUACCAGAGCCCAGAGAGACGAAGGACGCUUCGUGAAUGCUUCAAGAGAAAAUUUGAAGAUGUGAGUGAGAGAAAGGAGAGAGAGAGGCUUUGAGGAGAUGGACAGAGAAAGAAGAAGGCUGCUGGUUCUGCUGGACUGCUGGGUAUCGCGAUAACUGAGAUUGGUGUUUUCCCAAAGAACCCUACGACCCUAAGCAGGAAGAACUAAGUCUAAAGAGUUCUGUGCUCCAACUCCCCACUAACCUUUCUCUCCCACCUAGGGUCGGGGGCUUCAAAGGAGGUAGAGGCAUUAAAG